CAGCGUCGGGCGGGGCUCGGCGACCACGACAGCGCCGAAUCCAGAGCUUCCGCCAGAGGGGCGGGGCCUGCGACGCGAGGGGAAUCCGUCUGCGCGUGCGCUGUUUGCGAGCCUCCGCCUUCUCAAGGCGGCCACGGAAAAAGGGGGCGGGUUUGGGGGGGAAAAAAAAUGUGACGAUGGCUCCGCCCCCUCGCCUCGGCGUGGCCUCUCCAGGAGCUGGGAAGACGCGGCAGGCGUGGUGGACUGCGGAGAGGAAGACAGAGUGGUGCAGUUUGGCGUUAGCUCAUUCAAGGAGGUCGCGAGCUGGAGCAAGUGGUUAGAAGGCGGCUGCUCCUUCCCCUGCGCCGCCCUAGUCCUCUCGUUCCGGGUCAGGCACUCCUUUCUCCUAGCUCUGGGAAAAGGUUGCUGUCCAGGUUCGACUGAAAGAACCUCCUCAAAACUGAGACUGCCAAAGUAGAAGUAAUCAUCCUGUAGAAAUCAACUGCUCUCUCAAGCAAUGACUUUACAAAUUUUUUUCCAGACUUUACAAAAUUACAACUGAGAUAAAACCAUUCGGACUUCUGGGAGAACAUGGUGGAUAGAUAACAGCAGCUAUGGAGGCUCUCUCAGUUAGCCAGCUUAGAAUCCAGGAAUGGUGCAGUAUGAGGAGUCCUAAACAAGGGGAGAUAUACCCUGCCAACCCAGGAACGAAUUAAGCUGAGAGAAACCAACUGGAAAUGUAAUCCCGGUGCUAUUACUGGAACGGAUAAAAUCUCAGCACGGAAGCUGGAACCCGCGCCUCUGUAAAUCGUGAUUUGAAUUUCCUGCCACCACUGCUGCAUCUGAAUCGACACAGCAGUGACAGAGAUGUAAAACCUCUGAGAGCGGAAAUCAGUGAAUGGAGUUGAGAGGGACUGGCGGGGAGCCCUGCAUCAACCUGCCAUGGUGAGUGAGAGAAACGGGGACCCCUCCAUAGAUAAGGAGGCGCCAACAGAGGACAUUCUGGGACUGGGCAGACUAGCCGGAACAGGACACUGCAGUGACUUCAGUUACAUAUUCCCCUCCAAAGCGGGAUUGGUGGGGAGCACUUGGCCUGGGUGAUGCUGUGGACUAAGACCCAGUAGGCUAGCCCAAACCAGGUCCCACCCCUGGUGGUGCACCCUACCAGUGCAGUCUUCAGUAGGUUGACCUGGAGGAGCAGGCCCAGCAGAGGCUGCCCAGGUAUGUGUCUCCCUAGUACACUGCAGUGGGCGGGAACACCUAGCCGGUACAAUUCAAACAAAUUGUAACCAACAAAGAAAGAAACUGGGCCUCCUAUAUAUGCUUGUAUGGAACAAAAAGUAUGGGAAGAGGGAGCAACAAGAAAGGGUCCUUGGCCCCCAAUCCUGAGAACACUGAUCCAGGAAAGGUAAAUGCAAAGGAGAAUGAGAACAGAAAACAUGUAAUAUCAGACACGGCACCAACAGACAUAAAGCGAUAUCUCCAGAGCCUCAUAGAUGAGUUCAAAACUGAAGUAUUUAAAGAAGUAAAGCAAGAUAUAAGUAGAACAGUUAGAGAAAUGCUAAGCAUCGCCCAAGAAAAAACAGAUGGUGGAAUGGAAGAACAGAAAAAAAAGGGGAGAAUUGUUUGAUGGAGAAAAUAGAGAAAACAUAGAAUACGUGAAGCAGGUUCAAAGAGAUUACCAGGAAACUAAAAACUCUAUUGAAAGCUGGCAUAACAGCUUGAAAGAAACUAAGGAUAGGUUAUUUGAACUGGAGAACAGAUUUGUAAUGUGGGAGCAUGAAAUGAAAAACUUCUUAAAAAUAACAAGGAAACAAACAGCAAUAAUAGAAAGGCUUGAAGAUAAGAGGAUCUAUAACUUAAGAAUUAAGAAUGUAAAAGAAGUAGGGACACAAACAAAUGAACUACAAAGACUAGUCACAAAAAUAAUCCAGGAAAAUUUUCCUAAUUUAGCAAAAGGUAAAGAUACUCAGAGGUAUGAGGCAUACAGGACCCCAGCCAACUACAACCCAAACAAAGCUACACCCAGGCAUAUAAUAAUCAAAAUUCCAGAAAUCCAAUAUAAGAACAGAAUACUAAAAGCUGUCAGAGACAAGAAACAAAUCACUUACAAGGGAACAUCUAUCAGAAUUACAGCAGACUUCUUGGCACAAACCAUCAAAUCAUGAAUAGCCUGGGGGGAAAUAAUUCAAGCUUUGAAAGAUAAUAAUCUCCAGCCAAGAUUGAGAUAUCCUGCACAACUGUCCCUAGAAAUUGAUGGAAAAACAAGGUGCUUCCAGGAUAAAGAGGAACUAGGGGAAUUUGCAACCACCAAUUCAACUCUGCAGAGAAUACUGCAGGACAUUCUAAAAAAUGAAAAAUACCAAAAUUCCAGAAACAGUGGCAGAGAGGCCACAAUGAAUGGAGCAGAAAGCAAAA